rnacentral:tRNA from 1 species
GGGGCUAUAGCUCAGCUGGAAGAGCGCGGCCAUGGCAUGGCUGAGGUCGUCGGUUCGAGUCCGACUAGCUCCA